UCUUGGUCAUUUAGAGGAAGUAAAAGUCGUAACAAGGUUUCCGUAGGUGAACCUGCGGAAGGAUCAUUAAAGAAAUUUAAUAAUUUUGAAAAUGGAUUUUUUUGUUUUGGCAAGAGCAUGAGAGCUUUUACUGGGCAAGAAGACAAGAGAUGGAGAGUCCAGCCGGGCCUGCGCUUAAGUGCGCGGUCUUGCUAGGCUUGUAAGUUUCUUUCUUGCUAUUCCAAACGGUGAGAGAUUUCUGUGCUUUUGUUAUAGGACAAUUAAAACCGUUUCAAUACAACACACUGUGGAGUUUUCAUAUCUUUGCAACUUUUUCUUUGGGCAUUCGAGCAAUCGGGGCCCAGAGGUAACAAACACAAACAAUUUUAUCUAUUCAUUAAAUUUUUGUCAAAAACAAGAAUUUUCGUAACUGGAAAUUUUAAAAUAUUAAAAACUUUCAACAACGGAUCUCUUGGUUCUCGCAUCGAUGAAGAACGCAGCGAAAUGCGAUACGUAAUGUGAAUUGCAGAAUUCCGUGAAUCAUCGAAUCUUUGAACGCACAUUGCGCCCCUUGGUAUUCCAGGGGGCAUGCCUGUUUGAGCGUCAUUUCCUUCUCAAACAUUCUGUUUGGUAGUGAGUGAUACUCUUUGGAGUUAACUUGAAAUUGCUGGCCUUUUCAUUGGAUGUUUUUUUUCCAAAGAGAGGUUUCUCUGCGUGCUUGAGGUAUAAUGCAAGUACGGUCGUUUUAGGUUUUACCAACUGCGGCUAAUCUUUUUUUAUACUGAGCGUAUUGGAACGUUAUCGAUAAGAAGAGAGCGUCUAGGCGAACAAUGUUCUUAAAGUUUGACCUCAAAUCAGGUAGGAGUACCCGCUGAACUUAGGCAUAUCAAUAAGCGGAG
rnacentral:rRNA from 1 species